AUUGAACGCUAGCGGCAUGCCUUACACAUGCAAGUCGAACGGGAGCGGGGGAGCUUGCUCCCGCCGGCGAGUGGCGAACGGGUGAGUAAUACAUCGGAACGUACCCAGUAGCGGGGGAUAGCCCGGCGAAAGCCGGAUUAAUACCGCAUACGCCCUACGGGGGAAAGGGGGGGAUCGCAAGACCUCUCACUAUUGGAGCGGCCGAUGGCUGAUUAGCUAGUUGGUGGGGUAAAGGCCUACCAAGGCGACGAGCAGUAGCUGGUCUGAGAGGACGACCAGCCACACUGGGACUGAGACACGGCGAAGACUCCGACGGGAGGCAGCAGUGGGGAAUGUUGGACAAUGGGCGAAAGCCUGAUCCAGCAAUGCCGAGUGUGCGAAGAAGGCCUUCGGGUUGUAAAGCACUUUUGUCAGGGAAGAAAUCGUUUGGGUUAAUACCCCGAGCAGUUGACGGUACCUGAAGAAUAAGCACCGGCUAACUACGUGCCAGCCGCCGCCGUAA
rnacentral:rRNA from 1 species